ACUUAAUGAAUAAGCCCCGGCUAAUUAUGUGCCAGCAGCCGCGGUAAUACAUAAGGGGCGAGCGUUAUCCGGAAUUAUUGGGCGUAAAGGGUGCGUAGGCGGUUUAAUAAGUCUAUAGUUUAAUUUCAGUGCUUAACGCUGUUGUGCUAUAGAAACUGUUUUACUAGAGUGAGUUAGAGGCAAGCGGAAUUCCAUGUGUAGCGGUAAAAUGCGUAAAUAUAUGGAGGAACACCAGAGGCGUAGGCGGCUUGCUGGGACUUUACUGACGCUGAGGCACGAAAGCGUGGGGAGCAAACAGGAUUAGAUACCCUGGUAGUCCACACCGUAAACGAUGAGUACUAAGUGUCGGGUAAAACCGGUACUGAAGUUAACACAUUAAGUACUCCGCCUGAGUAGUACGUACGCAAGUAUGAAACUUAAAGGAAUUGACGGGACUCCGCACAAGCGGUGGAUCAUGUUGUUUAAUUCGAAGAUACACGAAAAACCUUACCAGGUCUUGACAUUUUCUUGCGAAGUUAUAGAAAUAUAAUGGAGGUUAUCAGGAAAACAGGUGGUGCAUGGUUGUCGUCAGCUCGUGUCGUGAGAUGUUAGGUUAAGUCCUAAAACGAGCGCAACCCUUGUCGUUAAUUGCCAGCAUGUAAUGAUGGGGACUUUAACGAGACUGCCAAUGAAAAAUUGGAGGAAGGUGGGGAUUACGUCAAAUCAUCAUGCCCCUUAUGAUCUGGGCUACAAACGUGAUACAAUGGUUGAUACAAAGA
rnacentral:rRNA from 1 species